AAAAACCAUAUCGCACUUCGUGUAUUUCGUUAGAAAUUGAAAACAUUGUUAAAGCGAACGGCUUGAAAGCGGCAAUUGUUUAAAGAUAAAAAAAACAACUCCAAACCUAUACACAUAUUUAAUAUAUAUACCGAAAUUCGAUGUGACAGGUGACACAUAUGUGUGUGCAAAAUAUAAGAGCGCGCUUACUCACAGUCGAGUUGAUAACAUACAUUCAAGUGAAAAUAAAAAUAAAAAAAUAAACGCGAAAAAAACAAACAUUUCAAAAGGAGUGCUAGAGUCUAGAAGAUACACACAAGUCGCAAUCAGCCAAAUAGAACGCAGUUAUAAUAAUAGGAAAACAAGACACAUUAGUCAAGUCAAAGAAAAACCUUUGUGAUUCAAUGCUAGUUCAAUUGAAAGCGCUUUUCUAUUUAUAUUUUUAAGAUGAUGUUAAAAAGUGUGAUUUAUAGUUAUAUUUUAUUGAAACUGAUUGUGAUUGCUGACGUAACAUUUUAUGAGGAUCAUUCUGGUGAUGUCAAGGGUAGUCAAUGUAAACUAACCGAGCCCGUAUAUGGAACACAAUUCGAUCUAAGCAAACUGCAUUCGGAGCUUGGUUUAAGGAUAAACGGCGAAGGUCAAGAUUUUAUUGAAUUUAAUGUUUGUGGCAACUUGACCAAAGUAUGUGCGGGUGCUAAAUCGGCGGCAUGUCUUACUCGAAACGGCAAACAACUUAAAUUCGGCACUCAACUUGAUGCAGAACCAAUUUACACAAAUGGUCGCAUCUACUUCAAUUUUACCGGUGAUGUUUGUGAUAAAGAUACAAAUGAAACAUUUAGUCUCCUUAUUAUAACGACUUGUGAUUAUUCAUCGCAUAUUUCAAGCCCAACUAUUCUGAUGCCAUAUAGCCAGGACCAAUGUGCGUUUGUAGUGAUUUGGAGAACAAGAUAUGCAUGCCAUCCAUUGUCAGGACCAUUGAGUACAAAUACAUGCACAGCAAAAGAUCCAAAAACCAACCACACAUUCAAUUUGAUGCAAUUGAGUGACUACAAUCACAAGGUUCUCGGACCAAAUCAGACCGAAUUUCUCAUAAAUAUUUGCAAACCAACACUAUACGGUCACAAUGAAAUGUGUCCACCAAAUGUCAGCGUAUGUCUAGACAAUAAAUCCAAACCAGAUGUGAAAAAGCGUUUCAAAAAUUAUGGUACAACGGUCACCGAUCCAACGUAUGAAAAUGGAAAACUAUUUAUGAAAUUCACAUCGGAUGAGAAAUGCAAUGCAACAACCAAUAAAUAUAUUACAUCCAUCAUCAAUUUUGUAUGCGACGAGAUGAUUGAGUUGGGUCAACCCGAAUAUACUGGCGAACGAGAUUGUGAACAUAGUUUUACAUGGAUUACCUCACUGGCAUGUAACCAAGUAACUCCAUGCCGUACAAUUGAUCCAAUUACUGGAUUUGUUUAUGAUUUGAAUGCAUUGAGUGGUCAAUCGUAUCGAGUACAACAUGGAAAUCAGACAUAUGUUUUUGGCGUAUGCUCAGAACCAAAAGAACCAUGCAAUGGUAAAGCCGGUGCUUGUUUGGUGACUGGUGACCAAAAAGGCCAAUCCGCAUCGCUUGGAAUCGUUAAUAGUGAACUUCAAUUGUCGGAAGAGAAAAACGAAGCACCAUAUAUUUUGUAUAAAAGUGGUUCGGCUUGUGAUACACAACAAUGGACAACAAAAAUUGAAUUUGCAUGUGAACACGAGAGAAUCGAAGCUGGCCCAAAGGUUAUUGAAGACACGAACUGUACGCUUCUUAUUCAAUUUCCAACGGAAUUGGUGUGCAGAAAUGAUAUUCAAUGCAAAGCUCAUAAUAUAUACACUGAUGAAGAGAUUGACUUAACUCCACUUAAAAGUAGCACACAUAAUUACUUGGCACGAAUAAAUGAUACAAUUAAAUCAAAGCAACCAAAUGGAAUAUUGUAUUAUUUGAAUGUUUGCAAACCACUCGUGCCACAAUACGGACUCAGCUGCAAUGCCAAUUCUGCAGCAUGUCGUGCAAUAACAAAUGGCACAAAAAAUCCAGAACAAGAGCAAAGUUUGGGAUAUCCUCGUGCUUCGCUAACAUUUGUUCGUACGGAACAUGGUUCGAGACCACAGUUGAAAUAUUUCGAUGGAAAUGUCUGUCCACAGGACAAACAAACAAAACUAUCAUCACAAAUUGAAUUCUAUUGCGAUCCAGCAGCGGGAAAGGGAACACCAAUAUUACAAAGCAUUUCAAAUGAAUGUCACUACGAAUUUGAAUGGGCCACAAACAUAAUGUGCCCAAUGGUUAAUGGAGAAUUCCGUGAAGAAACGUGCGAAUUGUACAAUCCACAAAUAAAUCACAGCCUUGAUCUUCGACAGAUUUUCACUGAUGGCAUGAUAACGAUCCCUUAUGCGGACAAAAACCAUAGAGUUGAUUUGUGCAAAAAAAGCAAGAAAAUUGAAAUCGACUACACUCAAAGUAUCGUCAAAAUGUUCUUCGAUGAAACGGCCGUCUGUGGAUCAGAUUCAUCAAUUAAUGUGGAGAUGCGGCUUGUUUGCAAUGAGAUUCAAUCCCAUACUUUCACUACUGAUACAGCAUCGUGCGGCAGUGUGUAUGUCAUGGAAACGCCAUUAAUUUGCCCACAAUUGGCUAUUGAAGUUGCCAACAAUGCCGGACCGAAACAUGAAGCCAAAACCAUAAAACAUUCAUUCUGGGGUGCACUUUUAAUAACAGCCGCUGUUACUGUUCUUUUAUUGGCAUUGAUUGUGCUCGUAUUGAGAAAUCCGAACCGACGAUAUCAAAUCAUGCAUUUGUUCCGGCGUGGCGGUGCCAGUGUCCAUUAUUCACGAGAAGAAUUGUUCGACUAUUAAAAUAUAGAGAUUUUAGAGAGAAAAAAAAAUAAUGUUUUGUUUGGAGAUUAAUUACCAUCAUAGUACAGGUUCGCCGGAAUGAAGAAGCAAAUUUAUUACUUGAUCAACCCGAUGGUUUGUCUGACAGCGAUGAGGAUUUGUUAAUUUAAGUGAUUUCAAUUUAUAUUGUCACAACCAUAUUCGAAAUCAAUCAAGGCAGUAAAUCGCAAAAAACUACAACUAUUUUGAUAUCAAUAUAUAAAGUGGCUUUUUCACAUGUAA